UCCUACGGGAGGCAGCAGUGGGGAAUUUUGGACAAUGGGCGAAAGCCUGAUCCAGCCAUGCCGCGUGCAGGAUGAAGGCCUUCGGGUUGUAAACUGCUUUUGUACGGAACGAAAAGACUCUGGUUAAUACCUGGGGUCCAUGACGGUACCGUAAGAAUAAGCACCGGCUAACUACGUGCCAGCAGCCGCGGUAAUACGUAGGGUGCAAGCGUUAAUCGGAAUUACUGGGCGUAAAGCGUGCGCAGGCGGUUAUAUAAGACAGAUGUGAAAUCCCCGGGCUUAACCUGGGAACUGCAUUUGUGACUGUAUAGCUAGAGUACGGCAGAGGGGGAUGGAAUUCCGCGCGUAGCAGUGAAAUGCGUAGAUAUGCGGAGGAACACCGAUGGCGAAGGCAAUCCCCUGGGCCUGUACUGACGCUCAUGCACGAAAGCGUGGGGAGCAAACAGGAUUAGAUACCCUGGUAGUCCACGCCCUAAACGAUGUCAACUGGUUGUUGGGUCUUCACUGACUCAGUAACGAAGCUAACGCGUGAAGUUGACCGCCUGGGGAGUACGGCCGCAAGGUUGAAACUCAAAUGAAUUGACGGA
rnacentral:rRNA from 1 species